UCGUCACUUAGACAUAAGGAGAAGGCCAGACCCAGUGAAGCCUCCUUUUCUCAUGUAGGACCAUCUGCAGGAAGCUCUCCCCAGCCAACCACAGACAAAACACAGAUAUUUUGCAGUCCAGACUUUCCAGACAGCGGCUUUGGCAGCUUUGACCUGAGCCGACCAAACACAGGACUGUCCCAAACAUCUCCUAGUGCUGUAAGUUCUGUACUCUCUGAUGAUGUCGUCAUCAUGGCGAGUGUGAGCGGUUCAGACAGUGAAGCCUCACACUCUAAUGCACGAACAACUAUAUCAAUGGCACCAAGACCUACGCAGCCCACAAUGAAUCACCUGGAAUAUAAAGAGCAGGAUACACAAGCAAUGGAAGCAAAAAGCAUUAUUCAGAAUGGACAUGUUAGAGCUUCAAAAAAGGAUCUCACAUCAAUAGCGCUUAACCAGGUGACUGAAGGAACAAUGGUGGACAAUGGGCUUAGAAAGGAGACUCACUCACCAUCAC